AAAACUUUUUCGAAAGAAAAAAAAAAAUCUGUUCUUAUCAGUUUAAUAUCUGAUAUGUCCCCUAUCUGGGGACAACAUAUUAAAUUGAUUUUUGGAUCACGGAGCUGGAGCUGGGGCUUGCUCUAUCCACUCAUUGGCCUGGUAUUGCAGUGUCUCCAGGAACGGUGUGCUUCCC
ensembl:snRNA U2 U2 spliceosomal RNA